AUAUUGCAUAUCGAAUUAUAAUUAUUGAGUUCGUAUCUAUUUACUAAGUAUUUAGUAUGAACUAUAAUGGACUAUUAUCCUUAUUCCUUAGUAUUUAAAAGAGAAUAAUUCCGAAAAUUUUCGUUCAAAUUUCGAUUGCAAUACGUCAGAAUUUUCAGAAAAAUUAGCUGAUUCAUAUUUUGCUUUAAAAUAUGUAUGGUCUUGUUUGAAAAACCAAAGUUGGUAUCGCCACAGGAUACUCCUUAAAUGUUGUGAAAAAUCUAAGUACUUUAAAAUAUUGUCUUUAAUUACAUUUAAAAAUUCCAAAAAUCAGAAUUUGAAUAUAUGCAUAAUUUAAGCAUAAAAAUGGGGUGAGCAUGCUUAAAAAAUCACCCUGUAUAUAUAUAUAUAUAUAUAUAUAUAUAUAUAUAUAUAUAUAUAUAUAUAUAUUUAGAUAUAUUAUAUCUUUUAUUGUCAACAUAUCCCGCCCGACGCGACUGCUGCGAGGCUCGCUAAGACGCGCUGUAAAUAUCCACCCACUACACAUGACAUUUUUUUAUUGCAUUUUUGUAAUAUUGCUCACAUUUCACUGUUGGUAUGUAUUUAUUAUUUAAUAUUUUUACGUACAAAAACUUUAUUACCUAUGUAAUAAUGUAAUACAUGAUGGAUAUCCAAUCUACUAGUAGAACGGUAAGUUACAUUAAUUUAUAUAAAAUACUAAAUAUUAAUAAUUAUUACAUGGUGGUGUGCUUUUAUUAACGCGUGUUAGUAGGUACUGUAAGUAAAUUAGUACCUAUUUAGUUAUAUACUUAUAUAUUAGUAUAUUACUGAAUGCUAAUGUCCUAAAAUAAGUAAAAUAAUUAGUUUAUUAUCUUGAAGCCUAAUAAAAAAAUGCAUUAUUUAUUCUAAUAUUUUAAUACAAUUCAGGUUCCAAAAACUAAAAGGUGGGUUAUAGGGAGUUUUACAGACACAAAUGAAUUUAGCGUUAUACCCACAAAUUGGUUGAUUAGGACAUCAAGUCCAGAUGGCCGGACCAUUAUUUAUUGUAAAUGGCCAUCACCACCGACUUCUGUUACAAGUGACAUCAUUAACAUAGCAAGUGAACCUCAAAUUGAUUGGCCAAACUAUAAGAUUAGGUUGGCAAAUAAUGGAAAAGAAUUUACUAAUUUCAAGAAAGCAUGGCAUCACAAAUUUGUUUUGACCUCAGAAUCAUCUGCUAAUGAAGUUGAUGAAUUAAAAAAUAAAAAGCUAUGUAGCCAAGCACAAAAAUCCAAUUUUCAUAAGAACUCAGAUUCUUCUGAAACUGAAGAAGAAGUAUAUAAUAUAUUAAAGCUGCAGGGUGUAGAGAAGAAUACACACAACAUAUUAUCUAGGUACUGCCAACUCCAAUCAGCAAAUGAAUAUCAGUCAGAUACCAAAUAUCCAAACCAAUAGAAUCUUGGAAGUUCCACAGACCGUGGAGGAUUAUAACUUUCAUCAGUAUGACAUGACAUAUGCACUAAAUAACAGUUUACUAGAAACCACUAAAUCACAAGCCUCGAACAAACAAAUGGUAAUUACAAUAUUAAUUAUUAAAAUAGUAAUAACUUUACUGAUUAAAUUCAGUACCUAAUCAAUAAUACUUAAUAAAUAAUUUAUAGUAAUUUUAAGUGUUCAACUGCAGCAUAAUAGGUAUUUCCAAUAAAAACUAAUAUGAAAAAAAAUAAUGGCCCAAUCUUAUAAAAUGUACAAUUUUGACUAGUUAUUUUUGCCCCAUUUAAAUUUAUGUA